rnacentral:rRNA from 1 species
UGGGGAAUAUUGCACAAUGGGGGAAACCCUGAUGCAGCAACGCCGCGUGAGUGAUGACGGCCUUCGGGUUGUAAAGCUCUGUCUUUAGGGACGAUAAUGACGGUACCUGAGGAGGAAGCCACGGCUAACUACGUGCCAGCAGCCGCGGUAAUACGUAGGUGGCGAGCGUUGUCCGGAUUUACUGGGCGUAAAGGGAGCGUAGGCGGACUUUUAAGUGAGAUGUGAAAUACCCGGGCUCAACUUGGGUGCUGCAUUUCAAACUGGAAGUCUAGAGUGCAGGAGAGGAGAAUGGAAUUCCUAGUGUAGCGGUGAAAUGCGUAGAGAUUAGGAAGAACACCAGUGGCGAAGGCGAUUCUCUGGACUGUAACUGACGCUAAGAUACGAAAGCGUGGGGAGCAAACA